UGGCUAACGGGUGAGUAACACGUGGGCAAUCUGCCCUGCACUCUGGGAUAAGCCUGGGAAACUGGGUCUAAUACCGGAUAGGACCUUUCUCCUCAUGGGGUUUGGUGGAAAGUUUUUCGGUGCAGGAUGAGCCCGCGGCCUAUCAGCUUGUUGGUGGGGUAAUGGCCUACCAAGGCGACGACGGGUAGCCGGCCUGAGAGGGGGAUCGGCCACACUGGAACUGAGACACGGUCCAG
rnacentral:rRNA from 1 species